rnacentral:rRNA from 1 species
AUUGAACGCUGGCGGCAUGCCUAACACAUGCAAGUCGAACGGUAACGCGGGGGCAACCCUGGCGACGAGUGGCGGACGGGUGAGUAAUACGUAGGAAUCUGCCCAUUAGUGGGGGAUAACCCGGCGAAAGCCGGGCUAAUACCGCAUACGAUCUACGGAUGAAAGUGGGGGACCGCAAGGCCUCAUGCUCAUGGAGCGGCCGAUAUCUGAUUAGCUAGUUGGUGGGGUAAAAGCCUACCAAGGCUACGAUCAGUAGCUGGUCUGAGAGGACGAUCAGCCACACUGGGACUGAGACACGGCCCAGACUCCUACGGGAGGCAGCAGUGGGGAAUUUUGGACAAUGGGGGAAACCCUGAUCCAGCAAUGCCGCGCGAGUGAAGAAGGCCUUCGGGUUGUAAAGCUCUUUUGUCAGGGAAGAAACGGUGGGGGCUAAUAUCCUCUGCUAAUGACGGUACCUGAAGAAUAAGCACCGGCUAACUACGUGCCAGCCGCCGCCGUAAGAC